AGCAGCCGCGGUAAUUCCAGCUCCAAUAGCGUAUAUUAAAGUUGUUGCAGUUAAAAAGCUCGUAGUUGAAUUUCGGGAUUAGUACGUUGGUCGUGCCUUCGGUACGUACUGGUGUUAUUGAUUCCUACCUUCUGACGAACCAUCAUGUCAUUAAUUUGGUGUGGCGGGGAAUCAGGACUGUUACUUUGAAAAAAUAAGAGUGUUUAAAGCAGGCUCGCGCUUGAAUACAUUAGCAUGGAAUAAUGAAAUAGGACGUUCGAACCUAUUUUGUUGGUUUCUAGGAUUGACGUAAUGAUUAAUAGGGAUAGUGGGGGGCACUAGUAUUCAAUUGUCAGAGGUGAAAUUCUUGGAUUUAUUGAAGACUGACUACUGCGAAAGCAUUUGCCAAGGAUGUUUUCAUUAAUCAAGGACGAAAGUUAGGGGAUCGAAGACGAUCAGAUACCGUCGUAGUCUUAACCAUAAACUAUGCCGACUAGGGAUCGGAUGAUGUUAAUUUUUUAAUGACUCAUUCGGCGCCUUACG
rnacentral:rRNA from 1 species